CCUACGGGAGGCAGCAGUCGAGAAUCAUUCACAAUGGGGGAAACCCUGAUGGUGCGACGCCGCGUGGGGGAAUGAAGGUCUUCGGAUUGUAAACCCCUGUCAUGUGGGAGCAAAUUAAAAAGAUAGUACCACAAGAGGAAGAGACGGCUAACUCUGUGCCAGCAGCCGCGGUAAUACAGAGGUCUCAAGCGUUGUUCGGAAUCACUGGGCGUAAAGCGUGCGUAGGCGGUUUCGUAAGUCGUGUGUGAAAGGCGCGGGCUCAACCCGCGGACGGCACAUGAUACUGCGAGACUAGAGUAAGGGAGGGGGAACCGGAAUUCUCGGUGUAGCAGUGAAAUGCGUAGAUAUCGAGAGGAACACUCGUGGCGAAGGCGGGUUCCUGGACAUUAACUGACGCUGAGGCACGAAGGCCAGGGGAGCGAAAGGGAUUAGAUACCCGUGUAGUC
rnacentral:rRNA from 1 species